AAACAUCUGAGCGAGGACGCGACAGACAAUGCCGAUACACGGGAGGGAGCCGAUGAUCAAUGGUUGCAGCAGUAACAGUGAAGGAUACAUGGGGAACAUGCAUAUAUUAAUAUGAUGCAUUACAUUUCUGCUGGACAUUUUGUGUUAAUGUGUGUCUGUCAAAUUUUUGUUACUGUGUCUUGAGAUAACUAUCACCCUUCUUUGUGGUAUAUUUUGACUGAACUCACACAAUAACAUAAAAAAUAAAGCAUAUGAAAAUCUUCAAA